AAUAGAUACCCAGGUAGUCCAUGCCGUAAACGUUGGGCACUAGGUGUGGGGCUCAUUCCACGAGUUCCGUGCCGCAGCAAACGCAUUAAGUGCCCCGCCUGGGGAGUACGGCCGCAAGGCUAAAACUCAAAGAAAUUGACGGGGGCCCGCACAAGCGGCGGAGCAUGCGGAUUAAUUCGAUGCAACGCGAAGAACCUUACCAAGGCUUGACAUACACCGGAAAAGUGCAGAGAUGUGCUCCCCGCAAGGUCGGUGUACAGGUGGUGCAUGGUUGUCGUCAGCUCGUGUCGUGAGAUGUUGGGUUAAGUCCCGCAACGAGCGCAACCCUCGUCCCAUGUUGCCAGCGGGUUAUGCCGGGGACUCAUGGGAGACUGCCGGGGUCAACUCGGAGGAAGGUGGGGAUGACGUCAAAUCAUCAUGCCCCUUAUGUCUUGGGCUUCACGCAUGCUACAAUGGCCGGUACAAAGGGCUGCGAUACCGCAAGGUGGAGCGAAUCCCAAAAAGCCGGUCUCAGUUCGGAUUGGGGU
rnacentral:rRNA from 1 species